GCCGGGCAUGGUGGCGGGUGCCUGUAAUCCCAGCUACUCUGGAGGCUGAGGCAGGAGAAUUGCUUGAGCCCCGGAGGCCAAAGUUGCAGUGAGCUGAUAUUGCGCCACUGCACUCCAGCCUGGGCAACAGAGCAAGACUUUGUCUUUA
rnacentral:SRP_RNA from 1 species